rnacentral:lncRNA from 1 species
AUUUGUUUUCGAAAAGGGCAUUGGAUCUGAUAAGACAGAAAAAGAUUAUCUGGACAAACAAUGCCUGAAGUUUCAUUGGCUACUUUCAGUCGUGAUGGGAGGAGGGGCCUAAUCCAACUGGAGAGAAGGAUAUCUGUUCCUUAAUUGGGGAGACAACCUCUUUCUUCCAUGCUCUACACAGAUGGAGCUUGAAGCCAUCUUGCUACUAUGAGGGGACAAAGCUACACAACAAGGGUUCCUGAGCAGUGGGGCCACAAUCCUGAGACACACCUCUGGAGCCUUCCCCCUGUAUGGACUUUGAGGUUCUCAGAACCAGAAUAGAAGAGUGAACCUAAGUAUGACGUGAGAGAAAGGAUAUUCAGAAACUUCUAUGAAUGUCUGGUAAGCUGGUGAGACUG